rnacentral:rRNA from 1 species
GACGAACGCUGGCGGCGUGCUUAACACAUGCAAGUCGAGCGGAGCGGCGAACGGGUGAGUAACGCGUGAGUAACUGCCCCCCUCUCUGGGUUCACAGUUGGAAACGUCUGCUAAUACCGGACUGUGGGGGAUGACUCGCGUCCUAUCAGCUUGUUGGUGGGGUAGUGGACUACCAAGGCGACGACGGGUAGCCGGCCUGAGGGGGCGACCGGCCGCAGUAGGCUGAAAUACGGGCCAAACUCCGACGGGAGGCAGCAAUGAGGAAUAUUGCAGAAUGGAGGAAAUCCAAAUGCAGCAAGGCCGAGAGCGGGAUAACGGACUUCGGGUUGUAGACCGCAUUAAGCAAUGAAGCGGUAGUGGCAGAAGAAGCACCGGCUAACUACGUGCCAGCAGCCGCGGUAAUUA